AAAAAAUGCUAAUAUAACUGGAAGAUGCUUUAUGCAAAAGGUCUCUUGUAAGGUAUCAUUACAAAGCUUAGAAUCUGAGUGUGAUCACCCUACUUGUAUAAGUGUACCACUCUUAUAUCUGAAACUGGAAAUAUAAAAUAUAACGAUAAGGGCC